rnacentral:ncRNA from 1 species
UCGGGUUCUUUCAGCCGAAGAUUAAUAGGGAAUCCUGUGAGAAUCAGGAGCUAUGCCCGUAGCUGUAAGUCCAAUCAAGGUCCGCAGCACCUAUGUCACUGAUAUUCGUUAUCGGGAAGACGCCGCGGACUUGGACAAGCCAGAAGACCUGCCCGUUUCCAU